rnacentral:rRNA from 1 species
CCAGACUCCUACGGGAGGCAGCAGUGGGGAAUAUUGGGCAAUGGAGGAAACUCUGACCCAGCAACGCCGCGUGAAGGAUGAAGGUUUUCGGAUUGUAAACUUCUGUCGCGAGGGAUGAAGAAUGACGGUACCUCGUAAGAAAGCCCCGGCAAACUACGUGCCAGCAGCCGCGGUAAUACGUAGGGGGCGAGCGUUGUCCGGAAUGACUGGGCGUAAAGGGAGUGUAGGCGGCAUAUUAAGUUAUGUGUGAAAGCCCGCGGCUCAACCGCGGAAUUGCACAUAAAACUGGUAAGCUGGAGUGCAGGAGAGGUAAGUGGAAUUCCCGGUGUAGCGGUGGAAUGCGUAGAUAUCGGGAGGAACACCAGAGGCGAAGGCGACUUACUGGACUGUAACUGACGCUGAGGCUCGAAAGCGUGGGGAGCAAACAGGAUUAGAUACCCCUGUA